CCUACGGGAGGCAGCAGUGAGGAAUAUUGGUCAAUGGACGCAAGCCUGAACCAGCCAAGUAGCGUGCAGGAUGACUGCCCUACGGGUUGUAAACUGCUUUUGUACGGGAAUAAACGGAGGCACGUGUGCCUUUUUGUAUGUAUUUUAUGAAUAAGGAUCGGCUAACUCCGUGCCAGCAGCCGCGGUAAUACGGAGGAUCCGAGCGUUAUCCGGAUUUAUUGGGUUUAAAGGGUGCGUAGACGGUUUGUUAAGUCAGUUGUGAAAGCCCGCGGCUCAACCUCGGAAUUGCCAUUGAUACUGUGCGGCUAGAGAGCAGUUGCGGUAGGCGGAAUGUGUGGUGUAGCGGUGAAAUGCUUAGAGAUCAUGAAGAACACCGAUUGCGAAGGCAGCUUACUAAACUGCCACUGACGUUGAGGCACGAAAGUGUGGGUAGCAAACAGGAUUAGAUACCCGAGUAGUC
rnacentral:rRNA from 1 species